AAUAUUUGACAAUGGGGGCAACCCUGAUCCAGCCAUUCCGCGUGUGUGAAGAAGGNCUNNGGAUUNUNAAGCACGUUAAGUUGNNNNNUAGGGCGUCAAGCUAAUACCUCGAUGUUUUGACGUUACCAACAGAAUAAGCACCGGCUAACUCUGUGCCUGCAGCCGCGGUAAUACAGAGGGUGCAAGCGUUAAUGGGAAUUCAUGGGCGUAAAGCGCGCGUAGGUGGUUCAGUAAGAUGGGUGUGAAAUCCCCGGGCUUAACCUGGGAACUGCUUUCAUAACUGCUGAGCUAGAGUACGGUAGAGGGUAGUGGAAUUUCCUGUGUAGCGGUGAAAUGCGUAGAUAUAGGAAGGAACACCAGUGGCGAAGGCGACUACCUGGACUGAUACUGACACUGAGGUGCGAAAGCGUGGGGAGCAAAC
rnacentral:rRNA from 1 species